AUGAACGCUGACAGAAUGCUUCACGCAUGCAAGUCUUUGGCGAAGCUGUGCUUGCACAGCCUAGCCAAGGCGGACGGGUGAGUAACGCGUAAGGAACUUGCCCUGCAGUCAGGGAUAACAGACGGAAACGACUGAUAAGACCUGGUAAAGUCAGGCGGACUCCUUUCCAGCCUGAUGAAAAGAGAUGCUGCAGGAGAGCCUUGCGUCCUAUUAGCUUGUUGGUGGGGUAACGGCCCACCAAGGCGAUGAUAGGUAGCCGGCCUGAGAGGGUGGACGGCCACAAGGGGACUGAGAUACGGCCCUUACUCCUACGGGAGGCAGCAGUGGGGAAUAUUGGACAAUGGGGGCAACCCUGAUCCAGCAAUUCUGUGUGCACGAUGAAGGUUUUCGGAUUGUAAAGUGCUUUCAGCAGGGAAGAAAAAAAUGACGGUACCUGCAGAAGAAGCGACGGCUAAAUACGUG
rnacentral:rRNA from 1 species